rnacentral:rRNA from 1 species
UUAGGUCAAGCUACAAAGGGCGCAGGGUGAAUGCCUUGGCACUAGGAGCCGAAGAAGGACGUGAUAAGCUGCGAUAAGCUUUGGGUAGACGCAAAUAGUCUGUGAUCCAGAGAUUUCCGAAUGGGGAAACCCACAUGGCUACGCCAUGUACUAUAUGCUGAAUACAUAGGUAUAUAGAGGUAAACCCGGGGAACUGAAACAUCUAAGUACCCGGAGGAAGAGAAAGAAAAAUCGAUUUCCUAAGUAGCGGCGAGCGAAAAGGAAAGAGCCCAAACCUAAGCCUUUGGCUUGGGGGUUGAGGACAGAACAUAAAUUUACUGAAUCUCUAGUUGAAGAUAGCUGGAAAGCUACUCCGUAGAAGGUAAUAGGCCUGUAAGCAAAAGAGAUAAAGUAACAGUUCUGAUCCAGAGUACCACGAGACACGUGAAACCUUGUGGGAAGCAGGGAGGACCACCUCCCAAGGCUAAAUACUACCUAGUGACCGAUAGUGGAGAAGUACCGUGAGGGAAAGGUGAAAAGAACCCCGGGAGGGGAGUGAAAUAGAACCUGAAACCCUGUGCCUACAACCGAUCGAAGCACUUUAUAUGUGUGACGAUGUGCUUUUUGUAGAACGAGCCAACGAGUUACGAUAUGUAGCGAGGUUAAGUACUUAAGGUACGGAGCCGAAGGGAAACCGAGUCUGAAUAGGGCGCAAAGUUGCAUGUCGUAGACCCGAAACCGGGUGACCUAUCCAUGGCCAGGUUGAAGCGAGAGUAAAAUCUCGUGGAGGACCGAACCACGUUGGUGUUGAAAAACCAUGGGAUGAGCUGUGGAUAGCGGAGAAAUUCCAAUCGAACUCGGAGAUAGCUGGUUCUCCUCGAAAUAGCUUUAGGGCUAGCGUCGAUUAAUUGAGUAAUGGAGGUAGAGCACUGAAUAGGCUAGGGGGCAUAUAGCUUACCGAACCUUAUCAAACUCCGAAUGCCAUAUACUUUUAUUUCGGCAGUCAGACUGCGAAUGAUAAGAUCCGUAGUCAAAAGGGAAACAGCCCAGACCAUCAGCUAAGGUCCCAAAGUGUAAGUUAAGUGGUAAAGGAUGUGGGAUUUCUAAGACAACUAGGAUGUUGGCUUAGAAGCAGCCACUCAUUCAAAGAGUGCGUAAUAGCUCACUAGUCAAGAGAUCCUGCGCCGAAGAUGUCCGGGGCUAAAACUUACCACCGAAGCUAUGGGUGUACACUACGUGUACGCGGUAGAGGAGCUUUCUGCAUUGGCUGAAGUCGUACCGAAAGGAGCGGUGGACGAUGCAGAAGUGAGAAUGUUGGCAUAAGUAGCGAGAGACAGGUGAGAAUCCUGUCGGUCGAAAACCUAAGGUUUCCUGAGGAAGGCUCGUCCGCUCAGGGUUAGUCGGGACCUAAGCCGAGGCCGAAAGGCGUAGGUGAUGGACAACAGGUUGAUAUUCCUGUACCACUAGCAGACGUUAUUACAAAUGGGGUGACGCAGGAGGAUAAGAUGUGCUAGCUAUUGGAUGCUAGUCUAAGCGUUUAGGUAUGUAGGAUAGGCAAAUCC